rnacentral:rRNA from 1 species
CACGUAGGGUGCGAGCGUUGUCCGGAAUUAUUGGACGUAAAGAGCUCGUAGGCGGUGUGUCGCGUCGGCCGUGAAAACCUGCAGCUUAACUGUGGGCUUGCGGUCGAUACGGGCAUCACUGGAGUUCGGCAGGGGAGACUGGAAUUCCUGGUGUAGCGGUGAAAUGCGCAGAUAUCAGGAGGAACACCGGUGGCGAAGGCGGGUCUCUGGGCCGUAACUGACGCUGAGGAGCGAAAGCAUGGGGAGCGAACAGG